rnacentral:rRNA from 1 species
GGGUCAGCAAGUUGGUCGUGCCACUGGUAUGCACUGGCUUUGCUGAUUCCUCCUUCUUGUAGAACCGUAAUGCCAUUUAGUUGGUGUUGCGGGGAAACAGGACUGUUACUUUGAAAAAAUUAGAGUGUUCAAAGCAGGCGCUCACGCUUGUAUACAUUAGCAUGGAAUAAUGGAAUAGGACUGUGGUCCCGUUUUGUUGGUUUUCAGGACCGCGGUA